rnacentral:tRNA from 1 species
AAAGAUAAGCUAAUUAAGCUAUUGGGUUCAUACCCCGCCUAUGAAGAUUACCUUCUUCUCUUUUAA